rnacentral:rRNA from 1 species
UACGUAGGUGGCAAGCGUUGUCCGGAUUUACUGGGCGUAAAGAGCGCGCAGGCGGUUUGUCGCGUCUGCCGUGAAAGUCCGGGGCUCAACUCCGGAUCUGCGGUGGGUACGGGCAGACUAGAGUGAUGUAGGGGAGACUGGAAUUCCUGGUGUAGCGGUGAAAUGCGCAGAUAUCAGGAGGAACACCGAUGGCGAAGGCAGGUCUCUGGGCAUUAACUGACGCUGAGGAGCGAAAGCAUGGGGAGCGAACAGG